rnacentral:lncRNA from 1 species
UCUCUCUUGUCAAUUUUCAUCCGUCUCCCCCAACCUCAACAUAGAAAUCAACACCUCCGAUGAAACCCAAAGCGUUCGGUAAUUUUUUUUCGUGAAGGCGGUCGAUCAUUGUUUCUGUCAUUCGAAUCCCCACAAACACCGUUUUCUCCAUCGUAUCUGCAGCUAAAAUUAGGUGAGUGUGAUACGUGGUUUACAUGGGUAUCUCGAAGCUUUUGAUUUUCGACAAAAUCUAUGUCAAGGGAAGGUACGAGAGAGAAAAAAGAGAGGAUAAUUUUGUGAAUUUUUAUCUUAGAAUAUAGUUAUCUAUGUAUUGAAUGAUAGGAUUCAGUUGAAUAGCACUUGGUUUGUACGUGACUAAAUAAAUGGUGAGCUGUUGAAUGUAAUGUUUCUGGUAACUUUUUCAAGAACAAGCAUGUGCUUCAUAAUAAGAAUGCUAGUGCAUGUAGAAUAUUUAUUCUGUCAAAUUUUUCUCUGAGUAUCCUAUCACACUUUUGUUGUCAUACUUGUAAAGCUCCUGCUAAUAAUUUCUGGAUAUUCAUUGUUGUCGAGGUUGUAUUCUUGAUAACUAUUUUGGGAAGGAAAUGAUUACUUAAUAAGAUACCGUUUGAGGGCAAUUUUCAUAA